UCUCCCAACACUGCGCUCCGCUCUCCUUCCUUGCGCCUCAAGUGACCGGAGACGCGCAAAAUCCCCACCAAGCGAUGUGUCCCCCCUAUAUUGGCAUUGAAUGGGAUAAAGUACUUUUUUCUUCUUCUUUUCUUUCUCAGGGAAUCCUCAAAGUGGCUUCGCGGUGGUGAAGAAGAAAGGAUAAAAAAAAAAUUCUCAGAGAGGAUAAAAGGACAAGGGAUGGCAGUAAGGGUGUCACUGUCCAGAACCACUCCUCUGAAACACAGGAACACGCCUGCCUGAUUGCUGCCGGACGACGAGUCCGCGCGAUAGGGAGCAUUUGGAAGAGGAGGUCAGUGCAUCACUGUCGUCAUCGCCAAUGCCUCCACGAUGAGAGCAUUGUUGGCUCGGAACCAAGCACAUCAACUGGUCAAAAAGGACAGACCCAGGGUCGAGGGCGAUGAAGAGGAGGUCGUGCGAAAGGGAGGGCAGAGGAUGGGGAGGUCGGAAUGCAACGGGCCAAGGAGCAGAUGUUCUCACACGUUCUAUUUCCCCCCAAGGAGGAUGUAAACAAUAAUACAAUGUUGGUGCAGAGAUUUGCAACCUCAAGGGCUGCGAUCUGGCGCAUUUGACCUCAGCCGGAACCAACAAGCUGCCGGCAUGGGUAUAUGAGGGACCAUAUGCAGACACACACACACACACACACACACACACACACACACACACACACACACACACACAAACACACAGCAAGAGUGUGCACAUCACCCUCUGCUAAGAAGUUUCACUCAUCUCUCAUCUCUCUGUCCUCAUUCUCUCACCUGUCCAUGUCAUUCUUCACUACUUUACUUUCGCAUUAACCAUCAGUUAGUCUCUUACACAGACACACGCACACACACACGCCUCCACAUCAGCCAUCAGUUUGUCCGACAGACACAUAAAUGUACAUCUUCACUUUCACGCACAGACCAACCCCUUCACAUCACACGUCAACUAGCCCAGAAAUCACACACACUUGCCCACACACACACACACACACACACACACACACACACAAUGCAUCACACAUCAGUUAUAUAUUUUAGUCUGAAGGAGAAAGGGGUUUGUUGGCAGCGGGGGAGGGGGGGGGGGGGGGGUUGACAGGGGAGAAGAGGAAGUACACAGGAAGUACAUUAGUUAUCACUCCCAUGUCUUCUCCACCUUUUCACGUCUUAUCACCACCCGACGUCUAAGACCCCAGCCAAGCUGCUACUUCUUCUUAUCCCACCCCUUUCCCUUUUCUCUCUCUGUCUCUCUCUUUCACACACACACACACACACUGACACACACACACACGCCUCUGAAAAUGACUUCCGCGCUCCACUUUCGUGUCGGGCCCUGGGAUCUAGAUGACACUUGGCAAGCCACAGAAGCCGCAAGACAACUGGAUGAAAUAUUUAAAUGAAAGACGGCAGGGGUAGAAGAGGUGAAGAAAGGAAGAAAGGGGGACAAGAGGGGGAGACAUGAAUACAGGACAGAGGACAGGGGAAGGAGAGAGUGACGAUAUUCAGAUGGCGAGCAGAAUGUGACGGAUUUUUGGCAGAGAGAGGGCUGCGCGACGAGAAGUGCAGACGAAUUGGCUUUCACCUUGGAAGAAGCCUGAAGAGAUAUAUUCCAAUGUAGUAUGAGAUCACAUCGCUUUAUUUUGGAAUCAUCAGCGAGUCUCAGUAUGUAUCAAAGCACAUUCAGCAGUGUGCCAGUUAAGCUGCAUAGAGGAGGACAAUAAAUCUAACAUACAACCAGAUGAAAUGUAAUUUAGUUACAGUGAUUUUGAAACUUUAGAAAAAGGUUCUAUCUGACUUUUUUCUCAACAAGACUAAAAGACUUAAGACUAAAGUCUAGCUAGCCCUUAAAGGGGCAGUAAGCAAUUUUUUGACUGCACUGAUCAGGGCUCUAACCUGCAGCCUUGCGUAUGGAAGACGGACGCGGUAACCACAAGGCCAAAACCUAUAAGUCAUAGCGUCUGUCGCUAGCGCCUCUCCAAAGGCUGAGCCGGAAAAAUGGCGCACAGAACAGACAGCUAGGAAAUAUUCGCAGAAUUUUAUAAAAGUGUAUUGGAUCCAAAUCGGUUAUUACCCCUUUAAGGCCGACUGUAUGUAACGAUGGAUGUACAAAAAUUAAGUCAAAAUAUUGUUGGCGUGGGCGCGGCCAUCUUGCACUGGUGAUGUCAUUUGUAUGCAGAGUCCACGCAGUAGUGAUAGGGGGAGUAGGGACACAGAUACAGCUACCUAGCUAUUCAGGAGUCAAUCACCCACUUUUAAUUUUCAUAGCAUUAAAUAUCUAAUAAAAAACGAAUUCAUCAGAACAUGAGACCAUGAACGUACAUCAGUGUGAAAAUAACAGAAAGCAGUUUUGGGUGAAAUGUUUUUAACGUGUAAUUUGACUUUGUCAUUCUAUCUGUUAACAUGGAGGAGGCGGAGUUUGUGACAUAUAAGGCAGCCAGCCACCAGGGGGCGAUCAAGAUUUUUGGCUUAGUUUUUGGAGAGCUGUCACGCCGUCUAUCUUCAUAUACAGUCCUCUGGCUAUACUAAAUGCUUAUGGACAACAUGCUUAAUGACAAAGCUAACAUGCUGAAGUUUAGCUGGUGUAAUGCAAACUACAUUCAUAAUCCUGAUACAUGCUAGCAUAUACACUUGAUAGUAUAAACUUGCUCAAUGGCACUGCACAGAAAGUAUCUCUGAGGCUGAUGGGAUGUAAUGGAUUUUGCAGAUAUUUGGUGAUGAGAGGAAAAACAUGGCCCGAUGAUGGUGAUACAUGAAAAGUCAUCCCAUCUCAUCCUAAAGGGCACAUAAAUGUCUACACCAAUCUUACAGUCGAUCCAUCUAAUAUCUGUCGACAUGUUUCACUCAAAGCCACAAAUGUCAACCUCAAAGGAGCUCCCGAGGAAAAGUUAGCAGAUCAAUAAUAUCUGUAGGAGUCAUCAUUUUGGAAUCAUGAAUGUCAAAAAAUUUUGCAUCACCCAUCCAGUAGAUGUUGAGAGGAUUUAACGCAAUGACCUAAAGACUCUGGUGGAAGUAGAUAAAAAACAAAGGGAACAUUUGAAUUCACACUCUGAUCUAAAGACAUAUGGUACAAAUUUCCAUAGGUAUCUUAGAUAUUUGAUUUUCUCUUUUUAAAACAUGUUGUAACAUGGCUUGAAAAUCUAACAAAUAAACCAACAAACAAACAUCAUAAGAAUCGUAUUAUUGUCCAGACAUGUCAUUAAACUCCAAGUAUGGCCCCCUUAGGGUGGUGCUAAUUCAAAAUCAGUAGCAUUUAACCUUGUGGGACCAUGAGUGUCUUACAAAAUUUCAUGGCAAUCCACACAAUAGUUGUUAGAAUAUAGAAUGAUGGAUCAACAAACAGAGGCAUCCCACUAGCAUGACUAAAAUGAUGUGAGAGUUCUGAUAAGUCAUUAACAUUUUGUAUAUGUUUAUGUUAAAAUUUUAUUCGACAAUAUUCUGAAAGGACAAAAAGGGUCUAUCUCCAAAUCCUAUAUUAUAUGUCUUGGUUUUAUAAGGUUCCAACAGCAAAGCCAAUUCAUGCACUUUUCCUUUUUACCAUGAUGCCACACUGCAAUGUGACUGAGAUUAAAAUAGCUUUAGAUGAUACAAUGGACUUUCUAAAACUAAUAAUUUUAUUGAAAACAUUUUGAAUGGCACUGAUACGAAUUUAAACUAAGUUGAGCAAAAUUUUUCAGUUAUGUUCUAACUAGAUGGAAGGCACAUUAGAUUAUUUUAAAACUCAAGCUAAUGUUAAUUAGCACGUGUUGAUGUUUGUAUUAGUAGCUCAACGUAUUACUGAGUUAAGGCCAAACUUUUAUUUUUGAAAUAAGCGUAGUUUUUUGUUUUUUUUGUUAAAUAAUUGCCGAGCUCUGCAGUGCUUCUCACAGAGUGAAUAUUUUAAAAAAUACUGUGAAAAGAGAUGGGACCAAAAGAAAAUCAAAACAAAGAACAGCCGACAAGGGGAAGUAUCAGUGGAGAAUUGUUUUGAAUUAUAUUGUCAUCUAUUUAUUAAAAAACUGAAGCUGCGUCUGUAUCAUAAUGGUAUUUGUUUUCAUUAAUAAUUACAUUAUGUAUAAAAGUAACAGUAAUAAUAGUAAUUCUUUUUUCUUUUUUUUUUCAAAUCACUGCUGUCUGUACUGCCUCAGCAGUGAGGCUUAAUAAUCCAAACAGAGCGUGAGUUAUUCCAGGAUGCUCUGGCUGUAAAACAUUUUCUCUAACAGCCCUUUGAAAAAUAGGUAAAGAUUUGUUGAUUGAGGCAGCCUUUAGUGGGCCUUUUGCUCCGAUGACUACAACAAUUACAUGAUUUUUCUUCCCCAUCUGAGAUGUGAAAAUUCGCAGCUUGAUCGUUGUAUUUUCUAUAUAUGCUUUAUUUAAUUUCCUAUGCAGGGCAAACAGAUGAACACACACUUUUAGGGGUGCCUAUACUGUACGUGUGCGGUUUAUUCAAAUGCCCACACUUAAGGUCUGUGUAAGGUCUCUUUAGUUGUGUUCUUAAUCAGUCGCGUGUGUGUGUGUUUGUGUGUUCGCGCAAGGCUGCUGGUUGUGCAAAUGCUUCUGUCACACACAAUGUGUGUGCAGGCCUUUAUGCAUAUUCUGUAUCCACGUAAUUGUAGUGUACUGUCCAAUUGCAACAUGAGUGCAUGGGUUUGUGUUUGCAGUAUAAUUUAUGCGUCUUUACGCUGCGUUUCUGACUUGUGUGGUUCCCAAGCAAAGAACAGUGGUGAUGACAUAGCUUGGACAGCAGGCCUGUCAGUCACAGAGUGAAGCAGUUCUGACUAGAAACGUCAAUGUGAAGAGAAAAAAAAGUGAAAGUAUAAAAAGUUUACUGUGUCGUGUAGUGUUGUUUCAGUGGUGUAAGUAAAAAAAACAAAAAAAAAACAACUGCUCACAUUCUUGUUGACACCAUAAAUCACAGAUUAAUGAUGAUUAUGACAUCAAUUAAUUUUAAAAAGAGAAUACAGAAGAGAAAAUAAAAUGUAUAUACAAAGCAUAUAAUGGCAUCAUAGAAAAGUAGGGCUUGGUAAGUCAAGAGAAAGAGAAAGAGAGAGAGAGAGAAGAGUCAGUAUGUACUGUAUGUGUUUUACAUUCACACCCUUUCAUGGUUAUUGUAGCAAAAAAAAAAGAAAAGAGAGAGAGCGAUGGGGAGAAAAAAAUUGAUUAUUCAUUAUUCUCCAGAACUGAUUAUGCAUGCAGUAAUGAAAAUGCUAACGUAUUGCCAUCCAGUAGUUCCGAGUAAAGUAUUACUUCAAAUAAACAUUCUGUUUCCCAGUGCCGGGCUUUGUGAAUAAAUGGAACGGCGGAGGAACAGAGGGGCUGAUUGGGUGCAGAUGUGAGCUCCAGUCUGGGUUUGGUUAGGGUCCCGCUGCCAGGAAUAUUCGCUCCAAUUCAAUAAAUAGAGCUGUUAGGAGCGAGGCAUUUCCUUGUCACCAUGUCAAGGUUUCAGAGCGGAUGUUUCACACUGGGUGUUUUCACUCUGUCUAUACUGUAUCUAAUGCAGCGCCUGCAGUGUGCACCCAGCUCGGCAUGACACACUGUAACCUGAGAAUGCUGCCAUUGAAAAGCUGCAGACGCAGAGUAAACGAUGAGUUUGAACUUGACUUCAGAUUGGAUGUGUUUCAGUAUUUUGUGAGGGUUUUUUUUGGACAUGUAAGUCAGUAUGGGGUUCACAAAUGUUGCUCCUGUUCAAAUAAAUAAAAAAAGAAAAUGUGUUUGAGGGAAAUUCAACUAUUCCUGUAUAAAUGAUAUUUUAAUUUCAGCUACAUUAGAUACAUUUCAGGAUUUAUUUUUUUUUGCCCCAAAAGCCUAUACCUUGACAUGUAUAUCAAUUCAUUGUAAUUUGGUGCUACGAGGUCUUUCCAAAGUAUUAAUGGAUGCAAUUUAAAGACCUGCAUAUGUCUCCAACUAUACAGUUAUGAUUCACGUUUGGCUUGAAACUAAGAGCGAUGUAUCCUCUCUAAAAAAACAAAACAAGAGACGAGCAAUGUCAACCCAGUAGACCCAGUUUUGUAAGUGAAAAAUAGAUGGAAAUGAGCAAAUAAAGUGUGCACGUAAAAUUAAACUGUGGUGAAGUAUUUAAAGGUGACUUCAUCAGCCUCAUAUCACUUCACGUGCACUUUCAGCACGCCCAUGUCCUCAUCUCCUUUGCUGCUCCACGGCCCCCCCCGCCCUUCUCCCGCUCACUAAUCUGCCUCUGCUUUUUCCCUCUCCUCUCCUUUCCCCGCUUUUUUUCCUCCCCCUCUCUUCUCUCUCCUCCCCUGUGCCCAUCUGUGAGGUGAUCAAAUCGUCGUAUGGAGAAAUCCUGGUGAUCCAAGAGGGCCGGCCGGAAAGGUCACGGAGAGAGUCCGUAAAAUGGAUGAAGCCUAAUGAUUAGCUCAACCUUUACCUAAUCAAUAAUCAUUUAUCCAACAAUAUCACCGGCAGCCAUAGCCCCAUUUGCCAUUAACCUCGGUGGUGGGGAGAGAGGCAGUAUUGUUUCCUCUGGCAGCUUUAUGGCACUCAGAUGAGUGGUAGAGCCCAGGACGAAAGCUUAAGGUUGGAUCUUGAUGGCUCCGAUCCUAUUAAGGGACUGUAGGUAUUUUAGCGUAUAGCCGUGUCAUAUAAUUACCUUUCUGAAUGAUUGACUGUGACACUGGCCAUAGUGUUGAAAUGGUAGAAUAGGACAGCCUUUUUUAUUGAAGCAUAAAAUGACAAAGAGGCGUCCUUCGUUCAUGUUAAUAAUUAAGAGCUGGACUGUUGAAAUGAUGUUAAAAAAUAAUACAUUCCAAGAAGUGAGAUUUGCUACGUGUCAAACCAAACUUUUUUUCCCAGAAUGUGUAUUUUGUUCCCGUGAUGCAGUUUUAAGAGAGAAAUGGAUGUUGAUGUUAAAUGUAUCUUUUUAUUGCUUUUUUUAAAAAAAAGAAAGAAAAGAAUUGUAACAUA